CCCAGCUGAAGGCACCUGCCUAGGUUGCUUGUACCUGGGCAAGUGUUACACUGUUGGGAGAAAAGCAGCCAACAGCUGGCAGGCAUUCUGGGCCUAGUUAAUGCCAAAUUUGUAUUAACUAUUCCAGUGUGACAGAAUAGUUGCCUAUUCUAUUCUUUUUUAAAUAUACAUAGU
rnacentral:snoRNA from 1 species